ACAGCUAUGGAAAUGAUGCCUUAAAGAUCUUUUCAGUGUUGUUGUAUGAAUACCUUUUUCUGCCAUAGAAUCCUUUUGUGAGACAUCAAGAGUUCUCACUGAAGACUGAUGCUGAGGAUUCAAGCUUCAAAGGGACUUUUUUAGAGAAUGAGAAAGACACUCCUGCUCUUUGAGAAGCACUGGUACUAUCUGGGAACACUUGUGAGAUUUGAUUUCCAAGCACGUGGAGUCUUUCAAUCAAGAAGAAAUUCUGUCUUGUACGAAGUGAAUAAAGAGAUCCUUUGCAAUGUCCCCUUGGAAUAGCAAAGUAAAGAGGUUAUUUCCUGAGGGGAACAUGGAGAGUGCAGACUUCAGGUGCACAAUCUGGCCUUGAAAAUACAAGAUGAACAAUUGGCCCACUGUAUGGGAACUGUUGAAUCACAGCCUGAACCUCUGAUUGACCACCUGAGGUGAGCACUGAGUCAGCCACAGGAGCACAGGUGAAGGCAAUUCAGCUGUGUGACUGGAAGGGGUGGAACCAGGCUCUACCUCUCCUAGACCCCAUUUAAGAGCUGACUGCCCCCUGAGGAAGGAUCUCCUCCUGGAGAUUGCUCCUUGUGGAGUUUUUGUGAGCCUACAACACCAGUGAGCACCUUUCAUUUUUGUCUGAUUAACUUUUCCAAUGCGGUAAUCUUACCAGCCUAACUUCUCUGUUUACUGUAUAACAUCUGAAUACUUAUUAACCAUACACCCACCUAUAUCUCAAGGGGAAAAAAACAGAGAUUAUACAUACACACGUUCUCACGUACUUUCACGUUGAGGCAGAUCUUUCUCUUUUAGUUAGUAUAUUCUGACAACUAAAUACAUGGUACUUUGUCUGAAAAAAAGGUUUAUGGAUGUUGCUGUGUUUGCCUUUGCUCUCAGAUCCCAAGGUGAAAGCUCUGAGCUACUUCCAAACUAAUCUUUGCUCUGGGUGAAAAUUGUUUGGGUAAUAAGAGAUGUGUACCCAAGAGCCAAAAUAUGAGAUUUUCCUCCAAUAAAUAUACACAUCCAGGGAGAAAAAACAACCGCCUAAAGAUGAAUGAACAAAAUCUCAGUAUUACACUAAUUCCUGGAACUUUCUCUAUGCUUACUUAUCUGUGCAUUUUCUAGGUGUUAGAGGCAAGGCUAGCUAAAAUGUAAGCAUAUUUACUAGCUUUGAUGUUUAACAGUAGCUAAAUCUCUGUCUGAAUUAGAGUUUAAAUCCACAAGCACAAUACAGUCUUACUGGAAAGUGCCUACAGCUGUGCACAAUAAAUCAGACUUUCAUGCAAAAAAUACACUCAAGUGCAAACAUGCAUGGAUUUAAAUACUAAGGUAAAGAUAUGUGUAUGUGAACUAGUGUAGACUUUAACUUCUGUUCAUUUACUUCGCAGUAUUGUAAAAUUCAGAUUUUUUUUUCCUCAUCCAAGAGAAUGUGAUUAGCUGUAUGUCUAAACUUUGACAACAAACUAAGAGACCUGUUUUGUCAUCAGAAACCCCAAGAUGGCAAUACAGCCUUGUUUUUCUUUGCUGCUUAUUUCUGCUAUUAUUAUCAUAAUUAUUUUAUUGCAGUACAUGGAACAGAUGUGUGAUUUUCUCCUUUACUGAUAUCAGAAGUCACUGCUGAUUACUGAGGAUUAUUUGUACAACAGUGGAAAGCUCCCAGUACUUUGACAUUAAAUGAAUGAACGAAUGCUAUGAAUGACCUGGGGGUACUAAAAGAUUGCAUUUAAUAACAUUAACCAAAUAGAUAUCUCUGCUCAAGUUUGGUUUCCUUUUACAGAAGCAAGUGACUUAACAACCCUGUUAAGAAAAAAAUCUGUACUUACCUAUUAUUUGUGGCUCAAUGUGUAACAUAAAUUUGAAUAUAGGUAUUAUAUUUAGAAGCAGCAGCCUACAUUGAACAUCUACAUCAUAAUAACUUUUGAGCUAAUUCACACCAGGACUAUUUUCUUAUCCUGUAUUCAGACAGUUUAUAUAGAGCCAAGGUAAUCAGUUCUGAUGCAGCCAACUUCUCUUGGGGAGAACACCAUGAGCAAGUGAGAACAAGCAUUGUUGCAGGUGCUACAAUGCUUAAAUGAAAAGAUAUUGCAGAUUUACCAAAAUUGCUACUGCCUAUGACUGCUGCUCAGGAGUUUAUAAAGUAAUAGAUUUCAUAAUAAUGGAAAACCACAAAGGAAGAAAGCUAUUUAUGUGCUGGGUUAGUGAGACAUGCAUGCAUAGGGCUGUAUUGUGAUGUGAGGAGGGGUGCUUCUGAGGGCACCCAGUUGGAGAGCAUCAGGCUUAACAGUAGAGAGCUCAGGUAAAGUUGGGUGGGAGCGCAGGCUUCCACUUACAUAGAGAUUCAGAGAUCACUUUAUCCAGCCUUGCACAGAGAGAAAUUAUUUUACAAUAAUAGGUAAUAUCUGUGAGAAAUGAUUACAGAGUAGUACAGCAGGAAAGAUGCUGACAACACUAGGACUAAUGCUGUCAAGACAGUCAAAGAAAUAAGAGCUGUUUAAUACUCAGUCAAAAGUAAUAAAUUACAUUUAAAUCAUAUUAUACCUCUCCAGGAUCAUUUUAGUACUAGAAGACAAUGAAAAUAGAGGCACAGAUGAUCUUGAAGUACUCCUGAUUCAGAAUUUUUUUCUGUCUACAUGUGUAUAUAUUUGCAUAUACAUAUGCAGUAUUUGCAUAUAUUUGCAUGUAAGUAGUAUGUAGAGGAAGAAAGUAUCACUCAGAGUACUGCUCAAGAAAAACCUCACCCAGCAGAAACCUGGCUACACAAACAAGGCCAAACUGAUUUCUUAAUGUUUUACAGUCCUCUGAGGCCAGGGAAGGCAAUGGCUGUUAUACCAAAUGAGAGGUACAAAAUUCUGUACUUUCUGCUGUAGAACUGGUUGCAGUCAUAGCUAAAAAAUGAAUCACAAAAUUAAUUUUAUAAAACCGUAACACUGGGAGAUUAAAAUCAUAAGUCUUUGAAUAAAAUCUGUUUACUCUGGAAGGGAAACAAAAGGCUUAUGACAAGUGCUCAGUGCAAUAUCCUUUUUUCUGUCUUUAUAUCUUCUCUAAACAGCACUGCCAUUUUAAUACAGAUUUCUAAGUAGCAGCAUUUAGAAGGGAAAUCACAAAGGAGGAUGGGACUAUACAAUAUUGUUACUGAGCUAUAAAGAGUGUCUUAUUUUACUUAGUCUCCAUUAGAAAGAUUUUGCUCAGAACUUAGCUAUGUAGACAACUAAUGGUACCCUCGAAUUUCUGCUGGGAAACAGAAAGGAGAACAAAAGUUUUCUGGUGGCUCCUGCAUUUCCCAGAAAAAACAUUUUGAAGUUAAGAUAACUAAAAUCACAUGAAACCAUAAAUUAACUCCUCUCAGAAAAUUAUCUUGAAAAAGUAAGAAUAAUAUAGGGUUUCCUGUGACUAACCGUGAAAGUCAGAAGAAAUGCAGCAUCCAUGUUAUUCCUACAGGCAAGGUUCCAAAACUUGGCCGAGCAGUCAAGAAGUGAGAAGGGAGAUGAGACUGAAUUACCCUGUCACAUCAGGAGGAUAGCUAGCUAAUCCUGUGCUUGCUUGAGCUGCUGAACUACAUCUGAAAGGGCAGGACGGGGUGAGCUUGUACUGCCAGUUGAUAUUCUGUAUGUGUUGUGCAUUUCCAUGAGACUCUGAGUUCACAGUACCAUCAGUCUGGCAGGUUUUAAAGCACUACAAAUUAAGAAAGUUUAAUGGCUUAAACAUUUUGUUUUGUAAUGCAAGAUUCCAAAACCUCUGCUGCAACAAACCAAACAUACAUGAUGCAUUAAGUAGGCUGUUUUAUUUUGCAUAAGCUGUUCAUUGCAGAGGGUGUAGAGAAGAGGGAGGGGCAAAGAUUGAUUCGUUUGAAUUCAGAUGCAUCUCUGACAAGUAGAAAAUUGGCUGAAGGGUGAAAAAUUAUUUGUGCAGCAAAUGGGGAUUUAUAUGGAUUAGAGUCACACGCUUAGGAUCUGGAAAUGUUUUGUAUUAUUAGAACCAUCUUUACAGAUUAAUUAAUGGAGUUGUGUUGUAAGGAAUUGCUUUCGGUUUAGUAAAUAAACAUGUUAGGUGAAUCUAUCUGUGGUUUGAGAGUGAUGGGCCAGAAGAGCUUUAUGGAAAAGGGUACCCCAAAACCUGGGGUAGUUGGAUUCAGCAGGAUGGUUUGUCAUGGUGCGUGGGCAGUUCAUUUGCUUAGUGCUGUGAUGGAUGUACACAGAAAAUGCCAGGAUGAUUUACAUCCUCUAUAAUACUACAAAGAACAAUAAGAUUUCUUACAGUGAGUGCAAGGAAUUCUGCCUUUAGCACUGUUUGUUGUCCUCGCCAUUUAUUAUUUCUCAUUCUCUGGAAGAAAUACCUGCAGCUUCUGAAUGCUUCAUAGAUUUGCAAGGUAGCCCCUGACCUCCAUGUACCCAAAGGUGUGAUCACCCAGGAGACAUUAAUGCCUUAGUAACUUCAAUGUGCACAAAUGCAUAACGACUUGAACUGAGUAACACAUGUAAGAGCAAGGAGAAAAACAGUAAAAUAAGGUGCAUUUUUGGAAACCUGCUACACUUCUAACUUCUCAUAUGCUACUUCAUAACAUAUGGUAAGUUACACAAGAGGUUCAGUUCAUUCCUGAACUUUGCAAAUGAGUUUUGUAGAGCUCUGGAAUGCUUGCAGGAAUUAAUUGCAUUUUUCUUCCACAGUGUCAACUGGAAUACGUGUUUUGCUAAAAUUAGUGGAAAACUGGGAUGCAGGCAGCAAACAUAGAAUGAUAAUUGGCAUACAUUGGUAUGGCACACCUACCACAUACAGAUCUGAUUAAGCAGGUUCAAAAAUGAUGACAAAUAAUUAAUAUCUAUUGUAUUUUUCCAAUAAUCUCUUUUUUUUUUUUCAAGAGUAGCCGUUAUUUUGUUCUGCAUGCAAGUCAAAAUAUAUUCCACCCUGAGAAACUUCAUGAGACACAGAUUUUAACUUCAGUUCUAUGUGUGCUUAAAAAAAACAAACCUGUUUUUCUGCCCUUGAAACAGUAUGACCAGUUUAAAGGAACGUACUUACUUACAUCCUUAUAGCAUCAUCAUAUGCCUCCUGAAACCAAAAGAAGGACCUAGAUAUUUGAGAUGUUUCCUCAUCCCCCCCCCCCCAUUCCAGUUUAUAAGUUCAUAUUUAAAUCUAUUUCAAUAUCAGUAUUGAGCAGCAAUCUAAAACUAUAGACAGUGGUCCUUGAAAAGAGGCAUAGAUUGUGGUGAAGAUUAAAAUGAUAAAUAUUUUACAUUUGAUUUUGAUAAAAAAUAACAUGUUAGUAUCACAUGGUAACUUGUCCUUUACUUGAGUGAAUUUAGAAAUCCCCCAAAAUCAGGAAAGACAGAAGAUGGGCAGCUGUAACACAGACGGACAAGUGUCAGGUUUACCUGCUUGUGAGCAUGGUCAUAAGAAUUGAUGUGGUUGUCAAAUUCCUGGUGUUUGUGGUACUGCUUGUCACACAGUUCACAAUAGAAGUUAGCCUUCACAUCCUCCAGAGCCUUGGCUGCAGCUUUCUCCUUCUCAGCAUAGUCCUGAAAGGCAGAAGCAAAGGGAGACACAGAUCAUAAGCUCACACUGUUUUCGUCAUCCGUGCUAAAAACAACAGAAACUGGAACUGCUAGCUCACCGGGCUCCACCUUAGUAUCAAAGUAAACACUAAAAAGCUCUUUUUCUCAAGUUGGAUUUAAUUAAAUAGUUGUAUUACUUGAAUAAUUACUCUUAGCACUUUCUUUAGGUACUGUAGUAAUCAAAAUACAGUGAAUUAAGGUCAGAGGAAUACCAUCAGGGCACGACCUGGCUUUUGGGUGGAAGAGCUGAGCAGUGAGGAGCACAUAAAAUACCAGGAGGAUGAGUUGAGUGCUACAGAAGUUGGCAGCCCUGCUCCAUCUCUUCUCUUUCAGAUGCUAUUGCUCAGAAGAAAGCAGCCAGUUUUAGCCUGCUACCAACGCAGAUUUUCUUUUGUGUACUGUGUUCUACCUCACAUCAAAUAUUCAGCAGGACCAGAGAGCAGCUGGCUACAGCCAGCUGAGAUUCCCCUGGAACAGUGCCACCAUGCUGCCGUGUCCCUUCCCCCGCAACCACUUUAGGGGACGUAUCAUCCCACACAAAUCACCCUGCCCAGUGCAGCCGUCACCCAACAGACAUGGGCACAACCACUGAUGUGAGCUGGCACACCUCUCACACUGCCCUAGUGCAAGAAUAGGGCCAGGGUCAGGCAAACACGGCUGAAAGAAAGGGAAAACACAAGCGGUUUCUCCCUCUGUGUCUCUCAAAUGACAUAGAAAGCUGCUUUGAAGGGACAUGUACUAUGCUUUCAAUAUAUACCUGGUACACAAAGAAAGCUUAAAAUAUUGGAGACAUUGGUUACUGACCUACAAACAAUACACUUAGAUAUGAGGGCUUGUUAGUCCAAAUUGGAAGCAGCCUUUGCCAAUCUUAUAUUUUUUACAAGUCCUUCACUAUAUUAUUAUUGUUGUUAUUACUAUUAUUAUUAUACUUGAAUCUUUUACUUUAGAGUUUAAAGAGCAAACUUCAGUCUGACAAGGGAAGAAUUACUGAAAAAGUUGGUGAAAGCGAUUAAUUUUAUAUUCACAUUGACAAUUUUAUAUUACUUGAGUAUAUGCAAGCUGUUGCCAAGGAUUGCAGUAAUUCAUCAUUUGCUGUACCAUUUUAUUCACUGUAAGAAAUGUGUACAUUUAAUAACUAGACUUUCCAUGCUAUGCAGACAGUGCUGUCUGGUGUGUGCAUGGUUUCACCAUCCUGCCUGCAGCAAACUCUAGGUAGGCCCAAGUUGGGACACAUUACAUGGCUGCGACACUCCUGGGUCACACUGCCUGGUAGUAGUCCAGGCACCAGGGGGAAAAUUUAGGCCAGAGCAGAGCCAUGUGGGUGAACCUUCGAAAGGGAAGGACUUUCUUAAUGAAAUCAUGGGUUUUCAUCCUGGGACUUGAGCAGGCAGCAGAGAUGUUGGCUGUCCAUGUGGCACAUGAGAGCUUUGGAGGAAUCCAUGCUGUGAGACCUGCAGCUUUGCCCUGAUCUACAUGCCAUCAGGUUGAUAUCAGUAGGUCUUUCUCACAUGGUACUUAGAGGCUGGCAUUGCUAGUGAAGGGAACUUCAGCUGAAGUAGCCUGCCUAGAAGCUAGGUUUAGGACCACGCACCUAAGGCACUGCUUAAGCUUCUAUAAGAAACAGAAAAAAUGAUAGCCACUGCCAGAUAAUGAUUAAUUCUAUCUACUUCAAAAACCCAUUUUAGUAUGAGAUGAAACUCUCCAGAAGUGCUAUAUCUCUCUAUCAACCACUGCAAGACCCUAAAUUACUAACCUGGACUACAUCCUUAAUUUUAGAUUGCUGAACUCAGGGAUAAUGAGUUCCAUAUUGUAUCCUUUUAUAUUCAAUUCUAAAUCUCCCCACGAAACUUGUAUGAACUGACCAGCUUGAAGACAGGAGAUCAAAGAGGAAACUGUGCCUGGAAUUUUGAUUUUACAUCUUACAAAUGCUGCCAACAACAUUCCAGUCUCUCCCACAGGACAACAUCCAAAUAACUUUUUUCCCUGCAUACAUAUGGCUCAGGUGGAUUAGUAUACUGUGAUAUGCUCAGAUAGAUUGAUUGUUUCAAAAAGCAAGUAGCCUGAGCUAACUCACUUCUCCACUUGAGAGGCUACUUGGUCAUAGUAGCUAAUACUUGAUUGUAUUAGUGGAAAAUGUUCUUGUAAUUAAAUAGUUAAAUGGCUUCCAUUAGUUAUUUAAAUUUACAAAGCCCAUUAAAAAGUGAUACUUUUCAGCUUAUGCUUCCAACCCAUUGUUUUGCUAACAUUAAUUAUUCACUGGGCCUUUGGUAUAAUUAAAAUGCAUAAAUUAGAAUGUGGAUGCAAUAGCAUUAAUUAUGCAGUGAUGCCUUCCUUGGAAGUCAAGUGUUGGAGGCAACGCAUUUUUAUUCUAAACUAGUAAAAAUGUAAGUUUUGCACUUGCUGGCAACCAGCCAAAGCAUAAUUGUUUUGUUUUUCUUUACUGUUUCUGAACUGUCAAUUAAGUGUUUACAGCCUGCUCCAUCUUUGCUUCUGUUGAAGGAGAAGCCUAAUUGUUUGGGGUGAACACACCACAUUACUCUCUGUGAAGCACAACUGAAACUGCUGUUCAUGAGCAUUCCAAACUGCCAACUUUAUCUUUCUCAGCAGAAAUUAAUACAGUCCCCUUAGCAUAAAGAUGUUUUAAAAUAGCAACAAGGCAGCUCCCAGGUGCAUCCUAAGAUAAUCACAACUACCUCCAUUGCCUUAUUGCUUAAUUAUGCUUGUCUACCAUGGCAAAAGAUAUAAUUUCCUGCUUGCUUAUCGAUCA